GAGACUCUCCAUCUCCUGUCUAUUUUGCAGUCUUUUCUCUCCAGCAACGUUGAGUUCCCAGGCAAACUUCAGCCAUGAAGAUUGUCUACCUGCUCUUUGCUGUCUUUUUCCUGGUGCUGCAAAGCACACCAGGAUUCACCCAGUUUAUCAACAGCCCCGCUCUUUGUAAACGCGCUAGGGGCUCCUGCCGCCGUAUAUGUUAUGGCAAAUACAGACUGAUUGGAAGCUGCGGUUCUGGGCAGAAUUGCUGUAAAAUGAGAGCGAGAAAGUGAGCGAUGGCAGCAGAAAUUGUCAAUGCAGGAUCGCUGAGAAUCUGGCAGGCGGCGCCUUGCUUCUAAAAUCCUUGGAUGCUUUUCAUCUGGGCUGCAAAGAAUCUC